rnacentral:rRNA from 1 species
AUACGGGGGGGGCAAGCGUUGUCCGGAAUUACUGGGCGUAAAGGGCGCGUAGGUGGAAGUGUAAGUUAGGGGUGAAAGCUAGCAGCUUAACUGCUGGUCUGCCUUUAAUACUGCAUUUCUUGAGUGCGAAAGAGGGAAGCGGAAUUCUUGGUGUAGCGGUGAAAUGCGUAGAUAUCAAGAAGAACACCGGUAGCGUAGGCGGCUUCCUGGUUCGUAACUGACGCUGAGGCGCGAAAGUGUGGGGAGCAAACAGGAUUAGAUACCCUGGUAGUCCACACCGUAAACGAUGGAUACUAGGUGUUGGGUUUAAAGACUCAGUGCCGAAGUUAACGCAUUAAGUAUCCCGCCUGGGGAGUACGAUCGCAAGAUUGAA